rnacentral:rRNA from 1 species
UGGGUGAUAAGAUUCAUAGUCGAAAGGGCAACAGCCCAGAUCGUCAGCUAAGGUCCCUAAAUGUAAGUUAAGUGGUAAAGGAUGUGGGAUUGCACAGACAACCAGGAUGUUGGCUUAGAAGCAGCCACUCAUUCAAAGAGUGCGUAAUAGCUCACUGGUCGAGUGAUCCUGCGCCGAAGAUUUCCGGGGCUAAAACUUACUACCGAAGCUACGGCAUCAGUAAUGAUGGGUAGGGGAGCUUCCCAUACGGGUUGAAGCAUGACCGUAAGGACAUGUGGACAGUAUGGGAGUGAGAAUGUUGGCAUGAGUAGCGAGAUGUGGGUGAGAAUCCCACAGGCCGUAAACCCAAGGUUUCCAGGGGAAGGUUCGUCCGCCCUGGGUUAGUCGGGACCUAAGCUGAGGCCGAAAGGCGUAGGUGAUGGACAACAGGUUGAUAUUCCUGUACUACCGAUAACCGUUUGAGAGAAGGGAUGACACAGUAGGAUAAGCUAAGCACACUGUUGGUUAUGUGUGCCCAAGCAUUGAGGCAGUCAAAGUAGGCAAAUCCGCUUUGAUAAU